rnacentral:rRNA from 1 species
CCUACGGGAGGCAGCAGUGGGGAAUAUUGGGCAAUGGGCACAAGCCUGACCCAGCAACGCCGCGUGAAGGAAGAAGGCUCUCGGGUUGUAAACUUCUUUUAUCAGGGACGAAGCAAGUGACGGUACCUGAUGAAUAAGCCACGGCUAACUACGUGCCAGCAGCCGCGGUAAUACGUAGGUGGCAAGCGUUAUCCGGAUUUACUGGGUGUAAAGGGCGUGUAGGCGGGAAAGCAAGUCAGAUGUGAAAACCAUGGGCUCAACCUGUGGCCUGCAUUUGAAACUGUUUUUCUUGAGUACUGGAGAGGCAGACGGAAUUCCUAGUGUAGCGGUGAAAUGCGUAGAUAUUAGGAGGAACACCAGUGGCGAAGGCGGUCUGCUGGACAGCAACUGACGCUGAGGCGCGAAAGCGCGGGUAUCGAACAGGAUUAGAUACCCCUGUAGUC